rnacentral:rRNA from 1 species
GAUGAACGCUGGCGGCGUGCCUAAUACAUGCAAGUCGAGCGAACGGACGAGAAGCUUGCUGCGCUGAUGUGAGCGGCGGAGGGGUGAGUAACACGUGGAUAACCUACCUAUAAGACUGAGAUAACUUCGGGAAACCGGAGCUAAUACCGUAUAAUCUUUUGAACCACGUGGUUCGAAAGUGAAAGACGGUCUUGCGGUCAGUUCUAGAUGGAUCCGCGCUGCAUUGGCUAGUUGGGAAGGUAACGGCUUAGCAAGGCAACGAGGCAUAGACGACCUGAGAGGGUGAUCGGCCACAUUGGAACUGGGACGGGGUCCAGACUACUAAGGGAGGCACCAGAAGGGAACCGUCCGCAGUGGGCGAAAGCCUGACGGAGCAACGGCGCGUGAGUGAUGACAGUCUUCGGAGCGUAAAACUCUGUUAUUAGGGAAGAACAUAUGUGGAAGUAACCGUGCACAUAGUGACGGUACCUAAUAAGAAAGCAACGGCUAACUACGUG